AACGUAGGAGACAAGCGUUAUCCGGAGUUACUGGGCGUAAAGGGCGUGCAGGCGGCAGACUAAGUUCGAUGUGAAACCGCCCGGCUUAACCGGGUGCGGUCAUCGGAGACUGGUCAGCUCGAGGGCGACAGAGGCGUGUGGAAUUCCGGGUGUAGUGGUGAAAUGCGUAGAUAUCCGGAGGAACACCAGUGGCGAAGGCGGCACGCUGGGUCGUACCUGACGCUGAUACGCGACAGCAUGGGGAG
rnacentral:rRNA from 1 species